UACAGAGGUGGCAAGCGUUGUUCGGAAUUACUGGGCGUAAAGGGCGCGUAGGCGGCCUCGUAAGUCCUGUGUGAAAUCCCCCGGCUCAACUGGGGAACUGCACAGGAAACUGCGAGGCUUGAGUUCGGGAGAGGGAAGCGGAAUUCCGGGUGUAGCGGUGAAAUGCGUAGAUAUCCGGAGGAACACCGGUGGCGAAGGCGGCUCUGUGGACCGAGACUGACGCUGAGGCGCGAAAGCGUGGGGAGCGAACAGG
rnacentral:rRNA from 1 species